CUCUGCCAUAAAAAGCUGUAGGCCUGUACUGACUUCUAUAUUUGCCUGCUUUUAUAUGCUCCAUAGCGUCCUUAUC
rnacentral:tRNA from 1 species